UACGUAGGUGGCAAGCGUUGUCCGGAUUUACUGGGCGUAAAGAGCGCGCAGGCGGUCGUUCAAGUCGAGUGUGAAAGCCCCCGGCUCAACUGGGGAGGGUCACUCGAUACUGAUCGACUCGAAGGCAGGAGAGGGAAGUGGAAUUCCCGGUGUGGUGGUGAAAUGCGUAGAUAUCGGGAGGAACACCAGUGGCGAAGGCGACUCUUUGGUCUGUAACUGACGCUGAGGCGCGAAAGCGUGGGGAGCAAACAGG
rnacentral:rRNA from 1 species